rnacentral:lncRNA from 1 species
AAGACCUAAUUAGAGGUAAUUUUUCUAAGUUUUUGUAAAUUAUUGAGGACUACAAAUCUUAAUUAGCUUCUCAGGAGGUUGUAAUUUUUUUUUUUUUUGAGAUGGAGUCUCGCUGUUGCCCAGGCUGGUCUUGAACUCCUGACCUCAGGUGAUCCAUCCACCUUAGCCUCCCAAAGUGCUGGGAUUACAGGCCACUGUGCCCAGCCUCAGGGGAGUUGUAAUCUCCAUUUCAGUCACAUCAAUUUAAACUUCACAAAGCUAAGAUUACUUUUCUUUUUCACAUCUGAGGAAAACUACAUCUC